UCUUCUCACAGAAAGGAUGCAGAAUCUCCUUCAAUCUCAUAAUGAACACAUCUUGGCUAUAAAGGAUUUGGGAGGCAACGUAGAUUUCUACCAACUGAAGAAAGCUAUGCUGAAUAGGUUAUUCCCCAUUCGAUUCCACCAUAUAGGAACAAGUGCUUACCUGCAUGUUAUUCAAUUGUCCUUGGAACAUAAAAGAGACAAGAAAUUCAUUCUUGAGAAUCAUCCAUGGACAGUAGUACAACAUGUGGUUUUAGUUGAAGACUAGAGUUUAUUCAUCAAACAUCCCAAAGACUGAUUUAGGUUUGCUUCUUUCUGGUUUCAAGUUCUCAAUCAGCCAAGAUACUGGUCAGAUGAACAGUCGAUCCAGGAAUUAGUGGAAAAAUCGAAAACGAGAACGGUACUACAAAUCGACCUUUCAAGCUCUCCUCAAAGAGUAUAUGUCAUGAUGGACCUCAACAAACCGUUCAUGCCAGGAGUAAUGUUAAAAAUUGGUACAGGCAUUGAACAAGCAAUGAACAACAAGCAGUUCCCCAACUACCCAUAUGGACGGCUCAACACAAGGAUGAAGGCAAUUUUCACAAAAACCCAAAGGAAUAACUACUUGCGGCACUAGCGGAAAAUACAAAAAAAAAGUCUGCCAAAAAUAGACUUAUAAUCAUUAAAAAGGACUGUGUUCGGGAGCCCUAAUAUUGUAGUCUUAUUUUCCAAAAAGACUGUGUCUGAAACACUAAAAAUUCUUUCAGUUACGACUACCUGCAUCAGUCUACAUAGUAACCAUGAUUGACACAGUUGUUUUGUCGGAUUAUAUUUUAUAAAAAAAAAA